rnacentral:rRNA from 1 species
ACCAGGUCUUGACAUCCCAGUGACCGCUCUAGAGAUAGAGUUUUCCCUUCGGGGACAUUGGUGACAGGUGGUGCAUGGUUGUCGUCAGCUCGUGUCGUGAGAUGUUGGGUUAAGUCCCGCAACGAGCGCAACCCUUAAUCUUAGUUGCCAUCAUUUAGUUGGGCACUCUAAGGUGACUGCCGGUGACAAACCGGAGGAAGGUGGGGAUGACGUCAAAUCAUCAUGCCCCUUAUGACCUGGGCUACACACGUGCUACAAUGGACGGUACAAAGAGUCGCUAACUCGCGAGAGUACGCUAAUCUCAUAAAACCGUUCUCAGUUCGGAUUGUAGGCUGCAACUCGCCUACAUGAAGCCGGAAUCGCUAGUAAUCGCGGAUCAGCAUGCC